rnacentral:rRNA from 1 species
GACUGUUUACUAAAAACACAGGUGGCUGCUAGUCCGUAAGGAUGUGUAUAGCCGCUGAAUCCUGCCCAGUGGCGGUAUCUGAAACCCGGUUUCACCCGGACGAAGGACCGCUAAACGGCGGGGGUAACUAUGACCCUCUUAAGGUAGCGUAAUACCUUGUCGCUUAAUUGGCGACUUGCACGAAUGGCCUAACGAGAGCUCUACUGUCCCUGCCUUGAGCCCGAUGAAAUUGACGUACUGGCGCACAGUCCAGUACGUCCCAGCCGCAAGCGAAGACCCCGUGGAGCUUUACUGCAGCCUGUCGUUGUGGUACGAGUUGUAAUGUGCAGGGUAGACGGGAGCCAUCGAAACCUGGGCGCCAGCUCAGGUGGAGGCAACGAUGAAACACCGUCCUUUACGAUUCGUCCCGCUAAACCCCUUCGGGGGGACACCGAUAGGUGGGCAGUUUGGGUGGGGCGCCACUCCCUCGAAAAAAUAACAAGGGAGCUCAAAGGUCAGCUUAGGUAGGUCAGAAAUCUACCGUAAAGUGCAAGGGCAAAAGCUGGCUUGACGUGGUUUGGCACCACAACAAACCACGAUGCGAAAGCAGGACCUAGCGAACCAACCAGCCCCGUUAGUAGGGGCGGUUGAUAACAGAAAAGUUACCCCGGGGAUAACUGAGUUGUCUGGAGCAAGAGCCCAUAUCGACCUCCAGGCUUGCUACUUCGAUGUCGUCUCUCUCUAUCCUGGGUGUGCAGAAGCACCCAAGGGUGGGGUUGUUCGCCCAUUAAAAGGGAUCGUGAGAUGGGUUUAGUCCGUCGUGAGACAGGAUUGUUGCUAUGUGCUGGGACCGUUUUGUGCCUGAAGGGAAGGGCCCCUUAGUACGAGAGGAACGGGGGCUCGCAGCCACUAGUUUACCAGUUGUCCGACAGGGCAUUGCUGGGCAGCCACGCUGUAAGGGAUAAGAGCUGAAAGCAUCUAAGCUCGAAACCCGCCUCGAGACGAGGCACUUUGACGCCCGUAGAAGACGGGAUGAUAGGACCGGGGUGUACGCACCGAGA